AAAUAUUGUAUGUCCAGAUGUGAUGUAUAAAUCAAGAGAAAGAUAUUUCACUCACAUUUGUUGGAGCUUGAGCCAGCUCUAGGAGAAGAGGCACUAAAGGAUAUACUUCCCCACUAAAGGAUAUACUUGGAUGGUUGGUCCGUCUGUCUGGCUUGGAAUUCCCUUGGUGUAGGCUGGGACCUACUCAGAUGUACGCAAUUCUUUGGUGCUUAGGAGAUAGGUCCGCCUCUUCCAAUUUUGGAUAAUGGGUAUCCACGAAAUAUAUAAAACAGCAGAUAGUGCUCUCAGUGUGA